rnacentral:lncRNA from 1 species
GCUCCAGACAUUAAAAUAUAAAUUAAUACAUGUAAGCUGACAUUGGUAUAUUGAUGUAUUUUUGUCUUACAUGUACAUUUUGAAAUUCCCUGCCAUAGUAAAAAUUUUGCAAAUCACAUGGGCACGUUGAGUACAUUUUGCAAAUUCUGAAUAUGUAUAAACAGAUGUACAAAUUACAAUAUUACUGGAUAUCGUGUCAAUGGUUAUAACGCAAGAUGUCGAAAUCUAUACACAUUGUAUUUUGAUAAUGUUAUAAUUUCAAGUUUAUUAAAGUGAAGUGAUGAUUCGAUAUCAUAAAAAUAUACAAAUAUAUAAAAUAGCAUAUGAAAUUAAAGUCGACAUCAAACUAUGAUAAGAUUAUAAUUAUCAUUGUUGCCAUCUAUUAUAGAAAAUAGAGGUGAAUGCCUGCCUUUUGUAAAAGAUCAGUCUUUUUCGGAAAUUGGUGCCCCUUUAAGUUGAUCAUCAAGAGUUUUACAGGACUCGCAAUGAUUGUUCUUAGAUAUUUGUUGGUACACCGCAGUUUUAGAGAUAACAAUUUCGCCCAUUAGACACGUCCUUUUAGCUGAAACUUAAAAACAGAUUUCUCUUAUCUCCCCUACUCGAAAAAAAAAAAUAAAAAAUUAAAUUUUCUGAAUAAACAUACGUUGGUUAAUG